GACGAACGCUGGCGGCGUGCCUAAUACAUGCAAGUAGAACGCUGAAGAGAGGAGCUUGCUCUUCUUGGAUGAGUUGCGAACGGGUGAGUAACGCGUAGGUAACCUGCCUUGUAGCGGGGGAUAACUAUUGGAAACGAUAGCUAAUACCGCAUAACAAUGGAUGACACAUGUCAUUUAUUUGAAAGGGGCAAUUGCUCCACUACAAGAUGGACCUGCGUUGUAUUAGCUAGUAGGUGAGGUAAUGGCUCACCUAGGCGACGAUACAUAGCCGACCUGAGAGGGUGAUCGGCCACACUGGGACUGAGACACGGCCCAGACUCCUACGGGAGGCAGCAGUAGGGAAUCUUCGGCAAUGGGGGCAACCCUGACCGAGCAACGCCGCGUGAGUGAAGAAGGUUUUCGGAUCGUAAAGGUCUGUUGUAAGUCAAGAACGGGUGUGAGAGUGGAAAGUUCACACUGUGACGGUAGCUGACCAGAAAGGGACGGCUAACUACGUG
rnacentral:rRNA from 1 species